AUCUCCGGUAUUCGUUUGUCGGGAGAGUUUCUGGACACUCUGUAUAUUGAAAAAUAUUCCCUUGGAAUCUUAAUGUAGUAUAGUACGUGAACAACAUAGUUGGUCUCUUAAUUAUAAAUGAUAUGCAAAAUAGUUUUGUGUUAAUAACUCUCAAUCAAAUUGAACGCGGUUAGCUUUAUUUUGUAGGUCUUUUAAAAGCGAUUAAGUUUUUGACAUUUUUUGUAAAACGAACAGUGGAGAAGAUAUCUGAAGAAAAA
rnacentral:lncRNA from 1 species